GAUUUAUGCAACUGGCUGGAACAGUCGACAUUAUAUAAAGAGAGCAGCACCUAAUUAGCACCGUAAGAGGCCUUUACUGGGCUCCUCACGCAGACCAAACCAAGCCAGAGGCGCCUGAGGGAGGGGGGCGUGGCCUCUGCAAUGUACCACCUGCUCAAUACAGUGGUGGACCCACAGAGCAACAGCUGUACAGCUGCAGGCGCCCGUGAGUGUCACUGCACAGAGAGCAGCGUCCCCGGUGCCCAGCUGUCAGUCU